UCAUCUGUCAUCCCCAAAGACAGGUUUUCUAAAACUAUUCUCAACCCACACAUGACCUAUCCAUGUGUUCCACUAAAAACAAACAGGUUUAUUUAGUACAGUUCAAAGACAGCAACUGGCAGUAACUGAAGAACAACCUGCUUGGGAUAUGUUGUUGCUGUUAUUGUUUUAGACAGGUUCUACUGUGUCUCAGUCUGGCCUCAACCCCCUGAUCUGUCUGCCUCCCUUCCUGAGAGCUGGCAUUAUACACAUGCACCACCAUGAUCCAUUUAUCCUGUUUUUCUCCGUCUAGUAUGAUGUUGGCUCUAGGCUCAGUAUAUAUAAUCUCCAUUAUGUUGAGAUAUGUUCCUUUUGAUUCUGAAGUUUUCAGGCUUUCACCAUGAGGGAUCUUAGAUUUUGGUCUGUGGCCUUUUCUUCAUCUGUUGAGAUAAUGACAUGAUUUUUAUCUUUGAAUCUGUUUACUGAUUUGUAUAUGUUGAUCUAUACCCAAAGUCUCUGGAAUGAAGCCAACUAGAGCAGAGGGAAUAGUGACCUUUCUAAUAUGUUCUUGGAUUAAGUUUGAAGUACUUUGUUGAGAAUUUUUGUAUCUGUAUUCAUCAGUAAGAUUAACCUUUCAUUUUCUUUUUGAUGUGUUUUUGUCCAGUUUUGGUAUGGGGUCUUUGGGACUGGUCUUAUUAAAAGAGGUUGAAAGCAUUUCUUCAUUUCCUACUUUGAGGAAUAAUUUAAGAAGUAUUGAUUCAACUUGGGUAGAAUUUGGCAGGAAAUUCCUUAGGAUCUGCCUAUUCUUUUACUGUUUCAAUCUUAUUGCCGAUUGUAGAUCUGUUUAAAUCAUUUGUUUUGGCUUAACUUUGGUAAGUCAUAUAUACCCGGAAAUCCAUCCUUUUCCUUUAGAUUUUACAACUUAGUGAAACAUGUGUGCAUUGGUUACUUUGUUCAUUCUUAUGAUAAAGGACCUGACCAAAAAACUUAGAGACAGAAGAAGGGGGUCAUUUUGGCUCAUACUGUUUUUUGAGGAUACAGACCAUCAUUGGCUUCAGGAGAGUGAAUCUUCUAUUUUUCUUCAAGUAUUUUUCUCUAUUUGUUUGGUCAAGAUGAUUUGCCUAUUGGUGAGUUGGCAUUAAACUCAUCCACUAUUACUGUGUUGGGAGAAAAAUAUGACUCUGCCUUUCAUACUUUGUGCUCCCGGGGUCAACAUAUGUAUGCUUUAAAUUGUACUGACUUAUCAGUGGCUUCUUCCCUUAAUCAGUAUGAAGUGACCUUCUCUAUAAAUAGGGGAGGUGAGCAUAUACAUGUGUGUGCAGGUGCAUACAGGUGGAGGCCGGAAUUCAGACUCGGGAACCACUCUUAAGUAGCUAUCCACCUUGGUUUUUGAGGCAGGAUCUCUCACUGGGAUACAGGUCUCACUAAUUAGCUUAAGCUGGCUAGCCAGCAAGCCACAAGGAUCUUUCUGGCUCCACACUAUGGGAAAGCAGACAAUAAACACCAGAUUUCAAAUCACUUCUCUGAAAAGGUCAAGGGAAAUUGGAAGCCAGUGCACUCUCCUAACAAGUGGUUCUUCCCUUGGAGAACUGCCAAGGCUUGAAAAUAUCUUAGGGAGCAGUCAUCUGUAGGCACUCAAGAGAGAUGCCUCACCCAGGCAUGGAAGCAAGGGAUGCUGAACACAUGAUGGAUCUGUGCUUCAGGGGAAAAAACCAUAUCACUGCAUGCUCAAUGUUAACCUGACAUUAGAAAUCAGGUUAAAAAAGAAAAACACCAAGUAUUCCAAAGUAGCCCAGUUUGAGAAGAAAUCUGCCUUGUAGGCAGAAGGGUGAUUGAAAAAGAGAAUUUCUUUCAGAUUUUGGAUCCCUUUGGCUGCAAACAGAGUGCAGGUUAUCUCUGUGUUAACACACCUAUAGGCUUUUAUGCAGCUCAUUGUUAACAUGCACGAAGUCCUGGGUUCCACCCUCAGCACAUUGGGAAGAAGGAAGAAGAUGAAGAGGAGGAGGCAUGGAGGAAUCUGAAAGUCAUCUAGCACAAUUCUUUGAAUCAGAAUGGUGCACAAUGAAGAUAAUAAGAGUCCUUGCUUCAGAACUGUCGUGAAGAUUGCCUGAGAACACAGCUUGAGGAUACUCUAGGGCAAGUGUGGUAAGAUGGCUCAGCAGGAAAAGGUGCUUGCACUACAAGCCUGGAAAUCUGAGUUCAAUCCCUGGAACCCAGAAGUCAGAGCAGCAUAGAGUGGACUCAGCCUACAAGCUGCACAACUGCAUCUGUGGUAUGGGAUUCCUUGGCUAGCCUCAGCCUCUGGGUACCCAACUCACUCCCACUGGCUACUAAGAGGAAGAAACAACACUUCACCCUUCUGCCUUCUCUAGAAUCUUCUAUGCAUGACACACCUCUCAGGCCCUGAAAACGCAUACAUUACCCAAGCUGGUGGCCAAGACUCCUCUUGUUAUGGGAUCAAGAAAGGUAAAGUUCCCUGCUGCAGCUCUGCUAAGGCCUGCAGGGUUGACCUGAAGAAGCAGUUUGUGCCCAGGGCUAAUAAAUUAUGAUUCCCUGGUUCCUGAAUGCUCUUGUAAGCACACCUCAGCAUCGGCGUUCCUGGGCACCUCCACUUGUGUAUAAGCACAGACAAACGUGCAUACCACAUGGGGAUCAGUGCAUACAUGUAGAAUUCUGCUUCCCCAUCGUGUCUAUGCUCCUGACUGCAUGUACCUACUUCAAUAGACAACAGCUCUCAAACACUGUGUCCCUGUCUACACUUAGACCCUGGAUGUACAGCUGUGUGCGCAUUGCUCUCUGUUGCUUCACUGGCAGUGAGUCUUAAAUCGUGUAUGUUUUUACAUUUCCUUCUCCUAGAGCAUACUUGGUAUUUGCUAUCAUUGUAUAUAGUUUUAUAUCAAGCCUAAACCUUCUCAUUUAGACUAAAAGGGGAAUUGUAGCAAUAUAUUUGCCUGUGAACCUGUAACAAUGGCCAUGCCUUUUCAGUUAAAGGGAGAGGAUAAGGAGGCAGGGUCUACAUCAUUGGAGCAGGAACACCACGACAGCCACUUACUUUUUUCU
rnacentral:lncRNA from 1 species